AACGUAGGAGGCGAGCGUUAUCCGGAGUUACUGGGCGUAAAGCGCGUGCAGGCGGCAGGACAAGUGGCGGGUGAAAGCGCCCGGCUCAACCGGGCGAGUGCCGGUCAGACUGUCGUGCUGGAGUACCGGUGAGGGACGUGGAAUUCCGGGUGUAGCGGUGAAAUGUGCAGAGAUCCGGAGGAACACCAGCGGCGCAAGCGGCGUCCUGGACGGAAACUGACGCUGAGACGCGACAGCGUGGGGAGCGAACGGG
rnacentral:rRNA from 1 species